rnacentral:tRNA from 1 species
UCCCUGAUGGCCCAGUGGUUAGGACUCUGUGCUCUUAAUACAGAGCGCCCAGGUUCAAUCCCUGGUUGGGGAC